rnacentral:sRNA from 1 species
UUUACAUCUGUAGUUUAUAGGAUGAGCACCUCCGAAGGAGGUUUGAGCCGAGCGCAGCGAGACAACGUUGCUUUAGCAACGGCCCGCAGGGCAGCAUCGUAGAUGCGUUAAUCCUCUCUCGUCGAUCA